UUCCGGUUGAUCCCGCCGGACCCGACUGCUAUCGGAGUGGGACUAAGCCAUGCGAGUCUACGUCCCGGGCUGGCGGGACGUGGCGUACGGCUCAGUUACACGUGGCCAACCUACCCUGCGGACGGCUAUAACCCCGGGAAACUGGGGCUAAUAGCCGAUAGGGGAUAGGCGCUGGAAGGCCCUAUCCCCGAGAAGGCUAGACACCCAUGCCGUGUGUAGCCGCCGCAGGAUGGGGCUGCGCCCUAUCAGGUAGUAGGUGGGGUAACGGCCCACCUAGCCUAUAACGGGUGCGGGCCCUGGGAGGGGGAGCCCGGAGAUGGGCACUGAGACAAGGGCCCAGGCCCUACGGGGCGCAGCAGGCGCGAAACAUCCGCUAUGCGCGAAAGCGCGACAGGGCCACUCCGAGUGCCGACCGCAAUGCGGUGGCUUUUGCCCAGUCCAACAAGGUUGGGCAGAAUAAGGGGGGGGCAAGAUUGGUGUCAGCCGCCGGCGUAAUACCAACCCUGCGAGUGAUCGGGAAGAUUAUUGGGCUUAAAGCGUCCGUAGCCGGUCCAGGAAGUCUCCCCUCAAAUCCCACGGCCCAACCGUGGGGCUGGGGGAGAUACUGCUGGGCUAGGGGGCGGGAGAGGCCGAGGGUACUCCCGGGGUAGGGGCGAAAUCCUAUAAUCCCGGGAGGACCACCAGUGGCGAAGGCGCUCGGCCAGAACGCGCCCGACGGUGAGGGACGAAAGCUGGGGGAGCAAAGGGGAUUAGAUACCCCCGUAGUCCCAGCUGUAAACGAUGCGGGCUAGGUGU
rnacentral:rRNA from 1 species